CGCAUGGGAGGCGGGUAGCUAGACACAACUGCGUAGUAAAUCGAAUCAAGCGGGGACUUGAGGAGAGAGGCUGCGUGGUCAUUGUUGAACCAAGUCUGCAGUGCGAAUCCGGCCUUAAUAAACCAGACCUGGUGGCACUACGACAAAAUCACAUUGAUGUGAUCGACAUACAAAUUGUGACAGACGGACACUCUAUGGAUGAUGCGCACCAGCGCAAAAUCAAUAGAUACGACAGACCGGACAUACGAACUGAAUUGCGUCGCAGAUUCGAAGCCGCAGGUGACAUUGAAUUCCAUUCUGCCACCCUGAACUGGAGGGGGAUCUGGAGUGGUCAAUCCGUUAAAAGAUUGAUAGCAAAGGGUCUCCUCAGCAAAUAUGAUAGUCAUAUCAUUAGCGUCCAGGUUAUGAGAGGCAGUCUCGGUUGUUUUAAACAGUUCAUGUACCUGAGCGGGUUUUCCCGAGAUUGGACUUAGCUAAAUCGUUUGGUUCAAAACAUUUGCUUGCUGUCUUGGCAUAACAUCAAUAAAGGCAUAAACAUCGCAAAAUAAUGGUUAUAAUUAAAUGGCUAUGAGGAUGGUUUUAGUACGUAGGCGUUGCGGAACUUCGGUUCAUAUAGAGCAAUGAAUCGUGCAUGCUAGGAAAACUGACCACACACAGUGUUGGCAGACCUAGUAUCUUUCGAAGAUUUCCAUACCUCCGCGAUCAAAAAAAAAAAAAAAAAAAUAGCCAAAUGCCUCGUCAUCUAAUUAGUGACGCGCAUGAAUGGAUUAACGAGAUUCCUACUGUCCCUAUCUACUAUCUAGCGAAACCACAGCCAAGGGAACGGGCUUGGAAUAAUUAGCGGGGAAAGAAGACCCUUUUGAGCUUGACUCUAAUCUGGCAGUGUAAGGAGACAUAAGAGGUGUAGAAUAAGUGGGAGAUAUUAGACCUCGGUUUGGUAUCGUCAAUGAAAUACCACUACUCUUAUUGUUUCCUUACUUACUUGAUUAAAUGGAACGUGUAUCAUUUCCUAGCCAUUAUACGGAUAUAUUUAUUAUAUCUUAUGGUAUUGGGUUUUGAUGCAAGCUUCUUGAUCAAAGUAUCACGAGUUUGUUAUAUAAUCGCAAACAAAUUCUUUAAUAAAACGAUGCAUUUAUGUAUUUUUGAUUUGAAAAUUUGGUAUAACUCCAAUUACUCAGGUAUGAUCCAAUUCAAGGACAUUGCCAGGUAGGGAGUUUGACUGGGGCGGUACAUCUCUCAAAUAAUAACGGAGGUGUCCCAAGGCCAGCUCAGUGCGGACAGAAACCACACAUAGAGCAAAAGGGCAAAUGCUGACUUGAUCUCGGUGUUCAGUACACACAGGGACAGCAAAAGCUCGGCCUAUCGAUCCUUUUGGUUUAAAGAGUUUUUAACAAGAGGUGUCAGAAAAGUUACCAUAGGGAUAACUGGCUUGUGGCGGCCAAGCGUUCAUAGCGACGUCGCUUUUUGAUCCUUCGAUGUCGGCUCUUCCUAUCAUUGUGAAGCAAAAUUCACCAAGCGUUGGAUUGUUCACCCAUGCAAGGGAACGUGAGCUGGGUUUAGACCGUCGUGAGACAGGUUAGUUUUACCCUACUAAUGACAAAACGUUGUUGCGACAGCAUUCCUGCGUAGUACGAGAGGAACCGCAGGUACGGACCAAUGGCACAAUACUUGUUCGAGCGAACAGUGGUAUGACGCUACGUCCGUUGGAUUAUGCCUGAACGCCUCUAAGGUCGUAUCCGUGCUGGACUGCAAUGAUAAAUAAGGGGCAAUUUGCAUUGU
rnacentral:rRNA from 1 species